rnacentral:tRNA from 1 species
GGGGGUGUAGUUCAGUGGUAGAAUACCCGCUUUGCAUGCGGGGGGUCCCGAGUUCAAACCUCGGCACCUCCA